GAUGAACGCUGGCGGCGUGCCUAAUACAUGCAAGUCGAGCGAAUUGACAGAGGUGCUUGCACCUCUCGAUUUUAGCGGCGGACGGGUGAGUAACACGUGGGUAACCUACCUAUAAGACGGGGAUAACUUCGGGAAACCGGAACAAAUACCAGAUAAAAUUUAGCUUCGCAUGAAGCAAACGUGAAAAACGGUUUUGCUGUACUUUAUAGAUGUACCUGCGGGGUAUUAGCUAGUUGGUGAGGUAACGGCUCACCAAGGCAACGAUACAUAGCCGACCUGAGAGGGUGAUCUGCCACACUGGGACUGAGACACGGCCCAGACUCCUACGGGAGGCAGCAGUAGGGAAUCUUCCGCAAUGGACGAAAGUCUGACGGAGCAACGCCGCGUGAGUGAAGAAGGUUUUCGGAUCGUAAAACUCUGUUGUAAGGGAAGAACAAGUACGUUAGUAACUGAACGUACCUUGACGGUACCUUACCAGAAAGCUACGGCUAACUACGUGCCAGCAGCCGCCGCCGUAA
rnacentral:rRNA from 1 species